GUGGCAUUCCCUGUGAGGGGCACAGCCCUCCUGGCAGAGCAGUGCCGCCCUUCUGGGGCUGUCCUCGGGCAGGGACCUCUGCGGGCAUCGCUGCGGUUUGUGCCUCAGUGCAGAGAGGAACUUCCAGCUCUGACUCCGAUCUUCCUGCCGGUUUGCCACCCGGAGUUGCCUCCAAAGGCAUUACGUGCCACGGGCUGUCAGCCCUGCUCAGCAGUUGUGCUGCCUGCACAAAGCAGAGGGUGCUGCAGAAAGCGGUAUCCAGUUUCUGCUCUCAAGAUGACAGUCGGUUUGUGCUCGUGGGGAGUAUGUGGGGCUGAGAAGCGGUGAAGCUGUUGGUCUCAGAAGCACAAACUGUCUGAAAGGCGAGGGACAGAAAGAGCUGCCCGGCAGGUGCUGAGCGUGCUGGAGGAGCUGCACUGCCAGGCAGCUGCACUGAGGGCAGCGGCACGUAGGAGUGAUUCCUCCCCGAGUUCUCUUGUGAAAAUACAGAGCGAAGGGAACACAAACACAGCAUUAAAGCGGCAACGAAAUGAGUUCGAGGAAACAACCGCCCCGCGGGGCUGUGCGUGGUGGGACGGAGCCCGGGAGAGCAAACGGGUGAGAUUUUGGCAUUUUGAAAGGGAGCUGAGGAAGAAGGGAGCUCUGUUGCCGUGGCUGCUGCAGGGCGCGGCUGUGCCGCAGGGCUGAGCGGUGCAUCCCGGGCUCUGCGCUGCCGGGCACCGCUCCGUGCCGGGGGCAGCCGGGAGGUGCUGCGGCUGAGCCGCCCGCGGGGCGGACGACGGCCGGGCGCGCUCCGUCUGUGCGGCGGGCGCUCUCCUUCUGGGUAAGCCGUGAGAGCGCCGCGGCCGCGGGGCAGGAGGUGGGGAAGGACGGCCGUCCCCGGGGGCUUUCAAGGCACAGCAGCGACUCUGGCGAUGGCUUCAAGGAGGAAGUUGGAGUGACCGCGGCAGCUGCUUCCCCCCAACGCAGCUGUUAUCUUAACUCCCGGAGCGACCGAUAGAGAAACUCAGAGAAGCGCAACCGGCGGCAGGAUGUGAGCGCAGCGGCGCGGCCGGGGGCAGAGAGCGGCGCCGGGAGCAGCGGGAGCCGUCUUCGCUUCUCCAGCGGCCGCGCCGUGCGGCAGCGGUGUCCCGGCGGCAGCCGACGGCACUCCCGCACACGGCGGGGCGGCGCUGAGCGAAAAGGAGAAC
ensembl:lncRNA